CCAAGAUCUCCAAAAAACCAAACUAAGACCAUUACAGGGAAGUGAUACAGAUGAUAAUUCAGUUAAGAAAACUAUGUACCCAAAACAGAGUUGACAUAGACCAAUGAUCAAGAAAACUCUUAAACAGGAAGAAAUUGAAAUCCUUGCUUGGGGUCAGUGAGGCUGCAUCUGUAAUAACAAACAUAAUUCAAAGGGCCAGAGCUCAGAAAUCUAAGGGGUUAAGAUGAACCAGUAAACUAGUUCUGAGAGAACUGUAUAUUAUUCAUUAACCAAAAUGAUUAUGAGUAUCAUAGAGGCCAUGCUUUUAUGAACUUAAUUUGAUUCCCCUGAACUUCAGUGCCCUGCUUCAAUUAGGACUGACAUGCUUAUGUGGCAAAAGGCUAAUAUUGUUAUAUUGCCUUCUGGCUGAGUUACCCCUUGCCAAAAUCAUGAACAUGUAAAUUGGUCACUUUUCUAUUCUUAGAUUUUUUUUUCUUUUUUAUUAGGGAAUACCACACUAUCAUUAAUUCAGAGUAUCACCAGCUCAAAAGGUACCAUCUUAAGUGACAGCUAAGUGGUACAAUGAAUAGAACACUGGCUUUGGAGUCAAGAGGUUCGAAGUCAAAUCUGCUCUCAGACACUUGACACUUACUAGCUUUGUGAUGUGAGCAAGUCACUUAACUCAAAUUGCCUCACCAAAAAGAAAAGAAAAAAAAACAAAAAACAAGGCAUCAUCCUAAGUAGAAAUCUCUGAGCAAAUUGUCCCUCAGAAAUUUCUUUAUCCUACCAUCAAAUUUUUUUUUUGCAUCAAAAGGCUCAAGAAGUUUGAAUUUAGUGAAAGGAUUAAAUUAAUAGUAAAGCCUUAAUAUUGUUCUUCUUUUCUGUUCCUCAGAAGCUACCACUAAAUCACUAGCCAGUCCAGUCACUGAAAGUAAAUUAGUUACCAGUGGGCAAACAUUGGACACAACUAUUACAAUGGGAAGUCUCCAAACAGCAACUACAUCUACAAAAGCCAGUGGGAUAAAAGCAGUUGAAGCCACCACAAUGGGAAGAUCAGCAGCAGUCAGCACCAGCUCCAAAGGAACUACUGAAGGUUAGUUGUGUCAGCCCCCCAAAAUAAAUGACCCAAGAGCCAUAGAAGUUAUUCAACUACUGGUAAACUCUGAAAAAAACCUACUAAAGUUCACAGAGGCUACUGUUAAUCCUGAAAAAUAUAAAACAAAACAAAAUCAAAGAGCUAAUAGUGGUUAUAAGCAAAAAAAUAAAUCUUUAUUCUAUUGGAGGAGAAAAAAUAAGUACACAUUCUGGGAGAUGCUCUGAUACUGAGGAGAUACUGCAGUGAGCCUGAGCCUUGAAACAUAUUCUAUUUCCUACAGAAUGAGCUCUUGCUGUAGCAAUGAAGGGAUAAUGGCAAAAAUGAGGUAAAUCUGAUUGAUAGCAGAGUUUCAUGACUGAAACGUGGUCUGGACAAGCAGACGCUUGUCUCAGCUCAAGAACCACCUGGGCAUGAUGAUAAAAAAUUCUGGGAUGUCUAGGUUCUUUUU
rnacentral:lncRNA from 1 species